rnacentral:piRNA from 1 species
UUCGUGUCUGACUGAUGAGGAAUCAAGCAGU